GUCCUCUUGUUUAUUUUGGAGGUCUGACCUGCCCAGUGAAAUUUUUAACGGCCGCGGUAUUUUGACCGUGCAAAGGUAGCAUAAUCAUUAGUCUUUUAAUAGAGGGCUGGAAUGAAGGGUUUAACGAAUCAUUAGCUGUCUCAUUUUUAUAACUUAAAACUUAAUUUUUAAGUUAAAAAGCUUAAAUGGUAUUGAAGGACGAGAAGACCCUAUAGAGCUUUAUAUUAUAUUUUUUAAUGAAUUGUUGAUUUAUAUUUAUUUAUUAUAAUAAUUUAAUAUUUUGUUGGGGUGACAGAAAUAAAUAAUUAACUUUUUUAUUCUUUAAACAUAAAUUUAUGAACUUUUGAUCCAUUAUUAUUGAUUGUUAGAUUAAGUUACCUUAGGGAUAACAGCGUAAUCUUUUUUUGGAGUUCAAAUUUACAAAAAGGCUUGCGACCUCGAUGUUGGAUUAAGAUUAUAGUUUGGUGUAGUAGCUAAAUUAAUAGGUCUGUUCGACCUUUAAAUUCUU
rnacentral:rRNA from 1 species